rnacentral:rRNA from 1 species
UACGGGGGGGAGCAAGCGUUGUUCGGAUUUACUGGGCGUAAAGGGCGCGUAGGCGGUCGUGACAAGUCACUUGUGAAAUCUCCGGGCUUAACUCGGAACGGUCAAGUGAUACUGUCGGACUAGAGUACAGAAGGGGCAACUGGAAUUCUCGGUGUAGCGGUGAAAUGGCGUAGAUAUCGAGAGGAACACCUGCGGCGAAGGCGGGUUGCUGGGCUGAUACUGACGCUGAGGCGCGAAAGCCAGGGGAGCGAACGGG